AGAUAUGAUAAUGCAAAACGCAGAGUAAUCAGCAGUCAAAAUAAUAUACGGAAGAACAAACUACGUGAGGGAUACACAAGUUUUCGUCCCGUGGGAGUUCGUAUCUUACCCCGUACCCGUACCCGUACCAAAUAUAUUGCACGCAAUAAACCGGAGUCCCCUCCCUCCGCCAUGAAGGGCUCUCAAGAUCGAGGCGGACAGAUCUACGGAAAUCUGGACAAUCUUGGCAUAACAUAUGAUAAAACAAACCAAAGGAUAAUGAAUAGUGUGAAUAGAAAAAACAACCCGCUACUUAG